UACCCGCCCCCCGAGUGGUGGGGACUAUUACUGGGCUUAAAGCGCCCGUAGCCGGCCGGGUGUGUCCUCCGUUAAAUCCACGGGCCUAACCCGUGGGCUGCGGAGGAUACUACCCGGCUUGGGGGUGGGAGAGGGCGGCGGUAUUCCCGGGGUAGGGGUAAAAUCCACUGAUCCCGGGAGGACCACCAGUGGCGAAGGCGGCCGCCCAGAACACGCCCGACGGUGAGGGGCGAAAGCUGGGGGAGCAAACGGG
rnacentral:rRNA from 1 species